rnacentral:rRNA from 1 species
AUGGCCCUUAUAGGUGGGGCUACACACGCUAUACAAUGGCUGGUACAAAGGGUUGCCAACCCGCGAGGGGGAGACCAAUCCCAUAAAGCCAGUCGUAGUCCGGAUCGUAGUCUGCAACUCGACUACGUGAAGUCGGAAUCGCUAGUAAUCGUGGAUCAGAAUGUCACGGUGAAUACGUUCCCGGGUCUU